rnacentral:rRNA from 1 species
GACGAACGCUGGCGGCGUGCCUAAUACAUGCAAGUAGAACGCACAGUUUAUACCGUAGCUUGCUACACCAUAGACUGUGAGUUGCGAACGGGUGAGUAACGCGUAGGUAACCUGCCUGGUAGCGGGGGAUAACUAUUGGAAACGAUAGCUAAUACCGCAUAAUAUUAAUUAUUGCAUGAUAAUUAAUUGAAAGGUGCAAUUGCACCACUACCAGAUGGACCUGCGUUGUAUUAGCUAGUAGGUGGGGUAACGGCUCACCUAGGCGACGAUACAUAGCCGACCUGAGAGGGUGAUCGGCCACACUGGGACUGAGACACGGCCCAGACUCCUACGGGAGGCAGCAGUAGGGAAUCUUCGGCAAUGGACGAAAGUCUGACCGAGCAACGCCGCGUGAGUGAAGAAGGUUUUCGGAUCGUAAAGCUCUGUUGUAAGAGAAGAACGGGUGUGAGAGUGGAAAGUUCACACUGUGACGGUAUCUUACCAGAAAGGGACGGCUAACUACGUG